rnacentral:rRNA from 1 species
GCUAAUACCGCAUGACAUAUCGAGGCCGCAUGGCUUUGGUAUCAAAGGAGCAAUCCGCUGAGAGAUGGGCUCGCGUCCGAUUAGAUAGUUGGCGGGAUAACAGCCCACCAAGUCGACGAUCGGUAGCCGGACUGAGAGGUUGAUCGGCCACAUUGGGACUGAGACACGGCCCAGACUCCUACGGGAGGCAGCAGUGGGGGAUAUUGCACAAUGGGCGAAAGCCUGAUGCAGCGACGCCGCGUGAGGGAAGACGGUCUUCGGAUUGUAAACCUCUGUCUUCAGGGACGAAAGAAAUGACGGUACCUGAGGAGGAAGCCACGGCUAACUACGUGCC